AUUGAACGCUGGCGGCAGGCCUAACACAUGCAAGUCGAACGAGUGGCGGACGGGUUAGUAAUGUCUGGGAAACUGCCCGAUGGAGGGGGAUAACUACUGGAAACGAUAGCUAAUACCGCAUACUAUCGGAUGUGCCCAGACGGGAUUAGCUAGUAGGUGGGGUAAUGGCUCACCUAGGCGACGAUCCCUAGCUGGUCUGAGAGGAUGACCGGCCACACUGGAACGGAGACACGGUCCAGACUCCUACGGGAGGCAGCAGUGGGGAAUAUUGCACAAGGGGCGCAAGCCUGAUGCAGCCAUGCCGCGUGUAUGAAGAAGGCCUUCGGGUUGUAAAGUAUUUUCAGCGGGGAGGCGUUAACCGCAGAAGAAGCACCGGCUAACUCCGUGCCAGCAGCCGCGGUAAUAC
rnacentral:rRNA from 1 species